rnacentral:lncRNA from 1 species
UGCCAGCAGGGAAAAGGGGAAAGAGUCUUUCGGGUGGAAUGAUACGUAUGACAAGAUUGCAGCAAACUGUUUCCAGUGCCAGCAGGGUCUGCAGCAGAAAAAAAAAAAAAAGAAAUUAUCACCAUGACCAUUAUGACUUCUUUAGUGAAACUCUGCCAUGAUUUCAAGUGCAGGACUGCAUGUGAUGUGCUCCGAGAAGGCCGCAGAACAGCUCGGCCCUGCGGAUCAGAACUGCAAAACUGAAUCCGAAGCAAAGCAGACGCCACACUGCAGGAUCAUGUGGGAAAUUAUCAGUACAGUAUAAUUAACAGAAGAGCGUAAAUGCAGUAAUUAAACAGCAGAGCUCUUCGUUGACGGUCAGGGAAUCCCCUGGACGGGACGCCAGUCCAUCGCAGGGCGAGGAUCACACACAGUGCCUCGCGCGCGCUCCCGCCGUGCCUCCGCUCCGGACAGACUCCGGACCGACUCCGGACCACCGCGGCCACCGCACUGGUCUAGUGGUCACCGAUCAUAAUGCAUGGACGGUUGGAACUGAACUCUCAAUUGCCAGCUCCUGCGAACACGGAGCCCUGCGCUCAGGGGUCUGACGGAAUUGUUUAUUCUCGGUGUCCCCGGCGCGCGCGCGCGCGCGCACUCACACACACACACACACUCACACAUACACACGCACUCACACUCACUCACUCGCUCCGCAACGCUAUGCACACGCCCCCUCUCCUGCGCGUGGACAGCACCCUUAAAGGCGCCGCGUCAGGGCGGAAAGCCCGCGCGCGCCCCGAAGCCCCGAAGCCCCGGCUCAACAUGGUGGGUCGCGUUCUUCUCCCGGGCUCGGCGCGUGAAGGCCCAGCGCGUGAAGGCCCAGCGCGUGAAGGCCCAGCGCGUGAAGGUCCAGCGCGCUCCAUCACCGUCCAUUUCCGCAGCUGCACGUUACACACAUAGAGGCUGUGCGAUUAACACUGGCGUUUUGCUGAUCUAAUGCAGAAACAAACUACUGUGUGUGUGUGUAAUGCAAGGACGGGUUUAAGCAAUUUUUUAAAUGAAAUUGAAUAUGCCUGUACUCGUAAUAUUUGUAGGGAUUUAAACCACAGUAAAGG